UACGGGGGGGGCAAGCGUUGUUCGGAAUUACUGGGCGUAAAGGGCGCGUAGGCGGCUCGCUACGUCGGGUGUGAAAACUCUGGGCUCAACCCAGAGCCUGCAUUCGAAACUGACGAGCUAGAGUUCUGGAGGGGAAAGCGGAAUUCCUGGUGUAGCGGUGAAAUGCGUAGAUAUCAGGAGGAACACCGGUGGCGAAGGCGGCUUUCUGGACAGAAACUGACGCUGAGGCGCGAAAGCUAGGGGAGCAAACAGG
rnacentral:rRNA from 1 species